AACUGUUCAACCGUGAAACAGUCACGCAGUGGAUGUUAUGAGGCUGUGCUAUGAUGGAAUCCUGAGCAAACGCGUCACCUCACACGCGUGGUCAUUGCCUGCCACUGUCACAAGUGAAGGACACUGCAUUAAUACAGCAUCUGCAAUGUUUAAUGUUGUAGCUCGUUGACAGCUACAAUUUAUGAUUGUGCAUUAAGGGUUUAAAAUGUCCAUGUCAUAUGUACAGGCUAUGAAGAAAACAUUAUGAAUGUACACAUUGGUGAGAGUCCUUCCCGUUCCCCCAUCCCAAAUAAUAUUCAUAAAUAUACUAAAAUUAUGAACAAAACUGAACACAACAAUGACUAGAGAACUCACAAAAUGAAUAAAAGUCCAAUAUUGAAGUUAGGGUUAGGUGUAGGGUUGGGGGAAAUGAAGGAACCCUUCUCUUCGUAUCUGUGAUGAAAAGAUGUGAAAUUGUGAAUAAUGAAUUUACAGAAGCUUCUGUGGCCCAUAACAAUGUCCAAUAAUUGGUAAUUGCUAAGACAUUGGUAUGGUUUUCACUACGUCCAGGCACUUCAGCUGCCAUCUACAAUUACCUCCAGAGAAUCUAUCCAGUGGAUGAGACAGGAUGCAAAAAAUUGUUACUGACGCAGUCACUGCAAGUCUUAGCAGACCUCGGGCUGCUACAGACAUGGUCAGCCAUGGCCAAGGGCAGUGGAGUUGCCUUAGGCAAACAUGCCACCUUUGAUCAACUGUCUCAGGCUGCCUAUAGCCGAGAUGUUGAUGACGAUGUUCUCGGUACACUGGGUGCAGUUGCGCCCAAUCACCUCACUGCGCAGGAGAAAGUCAGAUUCAUGGAGAUUGGUGUGGCUGCACUUCCCAAGGAGACAGAAUCAAGAGCGUCCACACCAACGCAGCAACCAGAGAUGCUACCAAUCAUCAAAAACUGAGGACAUCCAGAUGUUGCAACACCGAAGCACCCAGGGCCUCCUCAGCGCCUCCGGCACCCAGCACCUCCUCUGCACCACCAGCAAGGGGCCUCCUCAACUCCUCCGGCACAGGACCACCAUUUCAGCUGAAGGUUUGGU
rnacentral:misc_RNA from 1 species